GUCAGGUUGUUGUGCUGUGAGGCUGAAAGGACAGGAGGUUGUGCAAGGGGCAGAAAAGGUAAGACAUUGUACAAGGGUCAGACAGGGUACGGUGGCUGUGCGAGGGGCAGGAAGCAAUGCAGGAGAAAGAGCCAGAGCUGUGUGGGGCUGAUCACAGGACUGCAACUUAGCAAAGGUAAAUGGCUAUUGGGAAAGGAGAAGAGGAAGAAGCAAUAGGCAUUUGUUGGAAUAUAAAGGAAACACAGGAUUGGACUGUAACAUGGGUGACUCCUGACAUGACUCACGUUGCUCACAUUUUUAUCAUAUCUUGUCUGGACCACAGCAGUGAGACACAGAUGGACGUGCUGCCCUCAGUGCUUAGCAAUUGCCACCUAGUAAAGACCACUACAACACAUCUCCUCUGCAGAAUGUGUUACUAUGAGCUAAUCAAGCUCUUUUCUUGUUCAGUCUGCUACUGAUUUCCAUGAAAUUGCAAGUCAGGUGCAAGGUCUAGUGUUAUCUCUUCAAGUUUAAGAGCUUGUAACACUGCAAGGUGACAAUUAUGCUUAAUGACAGCAUCUGUGGUGGUACAGGAGAGAAGGCUGAGGAGACAGAACCGACCUAGACUGGGAAUGUGGCCUGGAAUUUGGGCAAGAACUUUCUGAAUAGCUACAAAAAUUCACAAGUCUUGCUACUUUCUCUUCCUAGAACAGAAGUUACUGCUUUGAUAUCAACUUGCCUGACGCAUAUGUUCCUUUUACAGAACUUAGUUAAAUCAAACAAACAAAAACACUAGCAAGCUUCAAUCACCACAGACAGUGAAAUGACUGAAAUAUACUGCUGACCCAUUGCUUCAUUAGCUGAGGAUAAAGGAUCCACUAAGGAAAUAUGGCAAACAUUAGCCAUGUUGGCUACUGAAGAGAACUCAGAUGUUGGUGAUGAGCAAAAGUUACACAGAGCGCUGGCCACUCAGCUGAACUUCAAAGAAAAAUGCUUAAUUUCUCUGAGAAAGCACAGAACAAAAAAUUUCCAUUAACACAGUGGAACAGUGGAAACAAAGUAUGCUCUUGCUUAACCAGGACUUUGAAUAGGAAGAUGUGUUUUACUACCUGUAGAAUGUAACUUUUUCAUGAAAACAGAGCAGAAUAUCAUCCAUUACACUGCGUAAAUAAUGAUCUAACCCUCUGGCUUCUUACACUGGUGAAAUUUUGCAGUGUGGACCAAAAAUUUGUGCUGAUCAAAGCUGCAAAAAACAUCAUCCCUCUCCUCAGGAUAUUUCUGCUUUCAGCCUUAGUAUAUGCAUUCUGGGUCUCCAACUCCAAAAUCACCCUCCUCCUGGGCAUGUAUCACUGAUUUAUUUCAGAUCUAAUGAAACAAUACUUUCUGCACAGUUGUGCAGCUUAAACAGAAGGGCAUUCCUCAGUUUUUCUGCUGUAUCCCUUAAAAAAAAAAAAAACUGGAAAGGCUAUCAUCAGUUUAAACAACAUCCUAGAACCUGCACUGGUUACUCAUCUGAAACGUGACUGAAACCUCCUCAGCCUGAUAGAAUCCGUAUCUCACGAUUGAGCAGCCUAGUGUGAUUAGUACAGAUAGAUUCUUCUUUACAGAUAACCCACAACAGUCCCUCUCAAAAUAAUGCAGUUCCU